CUCUAAAAAUUAUUCGCAAAUAAUUAUAUGCCAUGUAACUGCUAAUACUUUCCAGAUUGGCACAAGUUGAGUUUAAGUAUAAAUGAAAACUAAUUAAGAUUUACCACACAUCCCCUUGUUUAUGUUAAAAACUUAUUAUUCCAGUACUCGUUGGCACUAACCAUUAAUCUCAAAAGCUCGAGUUAUUAAAAAUACGCAGCCAAUUAAUUUAAAGCAUACAGAAAUAGUGCAUAUGGGUCUCGAUUGUGGCUCGACUGAACUAGCUUCAUGCCACUUCGAGAUAACUCAACCUAACCCAGCCUUACGCCAUUUCGAACGUGACUCGACCCAACCUGACCUCCUGCCACAAAAAAGAAUGCUGAUCCAUUUAAGCCAACAUUACUAUAUAUUUACAACAUCAUGCGUCCUUGAACCCAUUGCCACUGAAUAAUAACCUAGUAAUAUUUUU
rnacentral:lncRNA from 1 species